rnacentral:rRNA from 1 species
AACGAACGCUGGCGGCAUGCCUAACACAUGCAAGUCGAACGAAGCCUUCGGGCUUAGUGGCGCACGGGUGCGUAACGCGUGGGAAUCUGCCCCUUGCUUCGGAAUAACAGUUAGAAAUGACUGCUAAUACCGGAUGAAGUCUUCGGACCAAAGAUUUAUCGGCAAGGGAUGAGCCCGCGUAGGAUUAGGUAGUUGGUGGGGUAAAGGCCUACCAAGCCGACGAUCCUUAGCUGGUCUGAGAGGAUGAUCAGCCACACUGGGACUGAGACACGGCCCAGACUCCUACGGGAGGCAGCAGUGGGGAAUAUUGGAAAAUGGACGCAAGUCUGAUCCAGCAAUGCCGCGUGAGUGAUGAAGGCCUUAGGGUUGUAAAGCUCUUUUACCAGGGAUGAUAAUGACAGUACCUGGAGAAUAAGCUCCGGCUAACUCCGUG